rnacentral:lncRNA from 1 species
CAGAUUUUACUCAAUUGAAAUAUAUUGAUGCAUUAACUCCUACUAAUUUGGAGGGGUCAAUCCCAUCUUGACUCAUGCAUCGACUUGAUAAGUACUUGACUGCAUCCAAAAAUCUUUUAUCACUGAAUUAAAAAUUCAAAUAGUCCGAUACUAAAGUACAGUGAGUUGAUUAUAAGUCACCAUGAUAAUUUUAGGUCUGAGAGAUACUUAUACCCAUACCCUUCACGAGCUACUCUUGAUAGCAGAGUGCUCCAUAAUUGAUCACAUUCAGUGAUGAUGUACUCCUACAUCUCACCUACAUGCCAUACCAGUGUCUCCACACUAUUUGGUUAUGAGGACAACCAAUGCAUAUGGCA